CGCUGCUUCUUCUGCCAAAACUGCUUCUCCUCUCACUUCUUCUUCCCAACCAGCACGGCCUCAUAAUGCAACACUGAGCACAGCUGAAGUGUUUCCUUGUGCUCCUCCCAGCUCUUAUGAUAAAUACCUUGAAUGGAGAGGCCUUCAAAAAGGACCAAUAUGACAGCGAUCAACUCUAGGCAACACCUCAACAGAAGCGAGAAGACAAGGAUAAGUACUGGAGGUGAUGGAGCAAAACACGCCAAACACCAGUUUCGCUUCUGUCCACCUGGCCUUGGUGUUUCAAAGUAGAAGUAUUUCAUCCAGCUAGGAUGCAGCAACCAUCUUCCACGACUCUGUAACCUCCAGCUCCAGAGCCAAGCGGUGUGUGGAGAAAAGGCCAUGUGAGGACACAAGUGGGAAGGCGACCACCCGCAAGCCAGAAAAAGCGGUCUUCAACCGUACUGGUACUUUGAUCUUGGACUUUCAGCUUUCAGAAAGGGGCGCCUGGGUGGCUCAGUCUUUAAGCGUCUGUCUUGGCUCAGGUCAUGAUCCCAGGGUCCUGGGAUCGAGCCCCACAUUGGGCUCCCUGCUCGGCAGCAGGCCUGCUUCUCCCUCUCCCACUCCCCCUGCUUGUGUUCCCUCUCUCGCUGUGUCUC